CCCGGGGGGCGCGCUAUAAUGCAAGUCGAGCGGACAGAAGGGAGCUUGCUCCCGGAUGUUAGCGGCGGACGGGUGAGUAACACGUGGGUAACCUGCCUGUAAGACUGGGAUAACUCCGGGAAACCGGAGCUAAUACCGGAUAGUUCCUUGAACCGCAUGGUUCAAGGAUGAAAGACGGUUUCGGCUGUCACUUACAGAUGGACCCGCGGCGCAUUAGCUAGUUGGUGAGGUAACGGCUCACCAAGGCGACGAUGCGUAGCCGACCUGAGAGGGUGAUCGGCCACACUGGGACUGAGACACGGCCCAGACUCCUACGGGAGGCAGCAGUAGGGAAUCUUCCGCAAUGGACGAAAGUCUGACGGAGCAACGCCGCGUGAGUGAUGAAGGUUUUCGGAUCGUAAAGCUCUGUUGUUAGGGAAGAACAAGUGCAAGAGUAACUGCUUGCACCUUGACGGUACCUAACCAGAAAGCCACGGCUAACUACGUGCCAGCAGCCGCGGUAAUACGUAGGUGGCAAGCGUUGUCCGGAAUUAUUGGGCGUAAAGGGCUCGCAGGCGGUUUCUUAAGUCUGAUGUGAAAGCCCCCGGCUCAACCGGGGAGGGUCAUUGGAAACUGGGAAACUUGAGUGCAGAAGAGGAGAGUGGAAUUCCACGUGUAGCGGUGAAAUGCGUAGAGAUGUGGAGGAACACCAGUGGCGAAGGCGACUCUCUGGUCUGUAACUGACGCUGAGGAGCGAAAGCGUGGGGAGCGAACAGGAUUAGAUACCCUGGUAGUCCACGCCGUAAACGAUGAGUGCUAAGUGUUAGGGGGUUUCCGCCCCUUAGUGCUGCAGCUAACGCAUUAAGCACUCCGCCUGGGGAGUACGGUCGCAAGACUGAAACUCAAAGGAAUUGACGGGGGCCCGCACAAGCGGUGGAGCAUGUGGUUUAAUUCGAAGCAACGCGAGAACCUUACCAGGUCUUGACAUCCUCUGACACCCUAGAGAUAGGGCUUUCCCUUCGGGGACAGAGUGACAGGUGGUGCAUGGUUGUCGUCAGCUCGUGUCGUGA
rnacentral:rRNA from 1 species